CAAGCAUAUGACUGACGAUGCUCACUGUCUUUUUUCUCUGUAAAUUGAAUAAGAAAAUCACGUUCGAAGACGUACAACUUUUUAACAAAUUACCCGCAGACAUAAAAAAUUUAAACCCAUUUAACGCAUUCAAAGUAAAACUUGCACAGUACAUUGUCGAACAUUAACUCCGGCGUAGACUUAUCUUUGUGAACAGAAAAAAGCGAGUGAAUGUGUUAAAUGUGUAAUGUGUCUAACUAUGCGAGAGACAUUAAUAUUAAUAUAAUCAUGUAAUAGAUAAGGAUUAUGUACAACGGGCAAUUAGUGUUAUAGUUGGCCAAUGUGUGUGGUUCGUAUUUCGCUUUCUGAUCUUGCUGAUGACAUUGGAGCCUUGCUACCAUACCAUCGAAGAGGUCAUCCAUUAUUGAUUAAUUACUAUUAAUUCACUGAACUGUUUCAUUUUAGGAGUAGUGUUUCCAACUAGUAAAAACCAGCUUGCAAAUCAAAUAAUAAUAGUACAUAAUGAAUAAUAAAUAUUUUUUCAUCCGUCAUCCCAAAGGAAUGGUAAUAGUGUGCGUGGAGUUUGGCACCCGACCGUACAUCCAAGAAGCCAUAUCAUUUAGAGAUUUUGUAUGGAUACAAAGUCAACUUAAGCGAUGUUGACUUUAGCUCCAUGAAUGCCUCCAAAGAUCGGGUCCUAAUGGGUCAAGCAUAUGUAAAGAACUUUCUUAAAGUGCAAGCUCUCAUGUUAUCGUUUUCUCGAAUAUCACAAUUGAGCGUCGGAGCUCAUAAUCCGUUUUACUACUUUGUACACCACUUCGAUAUUCUUAAUUUUAAAACCAUUGGCACGCAUAUCGUCCUUGACGACCUGAAAUCAGCAUUUAUUAUAUUUCAACCUUCUGUCAGCCGCACGUCUACUAAAUUCAUCUUGGAGAACCACUGAUGUACCUUUUUGUACUUUUAUGUUCACUUCAAUCCAUGAUUUUUUGAAAAAUUGUUCUUCUUUUAGAACCAAACAUGUGUCUAGAUCUAAUAAGGGUGAUAAAUUUUGUUCUCUACGAAUUUGCUGAUUUUCCGUAUGAAUGAAGAAUGAAUAUUCUUACAGUGCAUUAACACCGAAAUUAUAGUGAGUCACAUGAUGAAAGAGUGCCCAAGUCAGGGCGCGCUGGUCAGCCGUCUGAAGGUGUUCUCCCUUCAAUUGAAGAUGCAACACGUUGGAUAUAAACCCAUGGGUUUCUUCACUUUAAACAGGACUUUUUUAGCAUCCACAUUGGGAAUAAUGACCACCUACCUGGUGAUACUGCUGCAGUUCCAGAAUUCCCACUCACGUUGAAAUAAAAUGAAAUGUCCAUGUAAACGUGUUAUAUAUUAAUCGAC